UUGUUUUUAUUUAUUUAAAUCCUACCUUUUUGGGCUUAAUUAAUGUUCAGUUUGGAAGGAUUGCAAUUAAGGUUCAGUCUGCUUGAAAGAAAUUUCCUAUUCAGAAUUGCUUGCUUACUGUGCUGGUUCCCUCACUUCUUGUUCUAGGAAAUCAUUUCUAAAUAAUUAACUAGGCAAUGGUACAAACUAAGGUAACUGAUUAGUUUUUCCUAACUCUUAGGAAUUCUUAAAAAUACAACUCUCCUGAUGACUAGGAGCCCUAACAGCCUAAUCCCCAGAGUGGUAGUUAGGAGACCUAACUCUGCCCCUGGCUUGCUGUGGAACUUUAAACAAGUUGCUUAGCCUCUCUGAGCUGUAGAGUUUCAUAUGUUAGCGGUAUGAUCAUACCUUCUCUGGUCGCCUCACAAGGUAGCUUUGAGGUGGAUGAUGUGAAGGAAAGUUGAAAAGGUAAUAGCAGUCUCUGAGUAUGUUGUUAUCCUUCAAAUAAGAAAAUCAAGCAUCUAUUUAGUAAUAGCAGUAGGGGAAUGUUGCUGCUUUUGCAGCUUUUUCAAAUCUAUGUACCUCUUGUCCAUAAGCUCCUACUUCCCACUGAAUCAGAUGAGACAGUACAUUUGGUGAGACAGUUCACCACUAUGCUGAAGGGCAGAAGCAAGCAUUUUUAAAAAUGUAGCUUGCUAGAAGAUAUCUGGGAAGCAGCAACAGAUAUAUUGCCGUUUUGAGCUGAAUCAUUUUGUUGACCACAAGGCAGAACGGCAGCAAGCUCGGAUGGGAGAACUCUAGUCAUUAUCCAAAGGUCAGACUUGAUAAGCAGACUCUGCUGUUUCUUCCCCUACUCCCAUAUGUCUGGAGGGCCAUGUGGACAGCAGGGAAACCAGAAAUCUCACUGUCAAAAAGGUGUUUAAGUGAUUUUCUGCUAAUAGAACUGGCUAUAUUCUGUGCAGAAUGACAGGAUUCCCGUCUUCAAGGAGUUCUUAAUCUAAGGAAGUAAGACAGCAGCAGGAACUUCAGGUAGAGUCCACAUCUGUCAUAUUGCUUGGCUCAAAGUAGGCAUUCUGUAAAUGUCAUUUGGAUGAUUGGGGAAAUGAAUGGGUGACAGAUGAGUAAUGAAUGAACAAUGAACUUUGAAAGGUGAUUCCUUGGAGUUACUGUUUGGAAAAGCAGAGGUGACAACUUGAAAACAUUUAGCAGUGUAACUUAGAGCCAAGCAUCUGCUUCCACUAGAAAUGUAAAGAUUUGAAAUCUAGACCAGGGGUGGGGAAUACAUUUAUGAUUUUCACUAAUUUGAAUUUAAAAUGAAAACAACUCUUGAAAUUAAGAAUUCUAGCUCUUAUACAUGAAGUUACACUCCAAUGAGUUACUUCCUAUAUUAUGAAGAUAUGUUGAAUACUUUACGAUAAUCAUUUUUAGCCAAUUUGAUUUAUUUACUACUAAAACAUCUUGAAGGUAACUUUUACAGUUUUUCUUUCAUCAGUGGUGAACUAUGCAACAGUAAAAACUUUAACCCCAACACAAAUCCUACAGGUAAGGCAGUGCGGUACAAAGGAAAGAUUUGUAGCCAGAGGAUCUGGGUUCCAGCUCCUCCACACGUUCAUGUCAUAAGUUUGGGUAAAUUGUUGAAGCUCUCCUGAGCUGCACUUUUCUCAUCUGUAAUCCAGCAACAUCACAUGAAUGUUGUGUAAGCGCUUGGUAAGCUGUAAACUUCUAUAAUGUCAGUGGUUGGGAAAGGAAUUCGAGAUGAUGUCCUAGUGCUCCAAGACUGUGAUUUCUGGCCUUCUGGUAUAGAGAGUGUAAUGUGGUUCCUGAAUGUUGGCCACCACCCUGAGAACAUUCACCUUAAUGAUAGUUACAUGAAAGAUUCCCUAAAGUUACCAUUAAACAAAAUGUAUUUAAUAUGGCAGUUCAACAGAUUGUAAGUUACAAGUUUUGACUCCAUUUAUAUGGUACUACUUUUUUGAAGACUUCUCCUAUAUUUGCCAACUCACAUGGCCCUUACCAUGCAUUGCUCUGGUUUGCAAUGACCAGAAUGGAGUUGUUUCAUUGAUAGGCCCUCAUAGCAUUUGACAGGCACCAAAGUUGUUAGAAGCUUUGGUGCAAUAUAAUUGUCACUCCCACUAAACUGCAAAAUGACCAUUUCAAUUUGGAGGAUUAUUAUCCUACUGAACAUAAAUCAAUUCGCUGUCCUCUAGAAUGUAACUGUGUUUAAGAGCAAUAGGCAAGCCACAGCUAUUCUCUGUGUGUUGGAUGAGGUUAUAAGUGUGUUACCAAAUGCUCAAAUCAGGUUAUUACCGAAGCACAAUUCUGUAUCCAAGAGGGAAGACAACUAUUAAGAAUGAGCUUAGAAAAAAAGACAUUUUAUAGAUGUAUUAAAAUAGAAAACAUAAGCUGAUUAGGCAAAGUUCCAAAGAUUCAUUAGUUUAUUAAAGUAGAUUGAAAUGAAUGUUUGAGAGAUUUAAAUAAAUUAACCUUUAAUGAGUACCCAGGGGCCAAGGAAAAAGAAUGACAGAGGAUUAGGAGUAUUUUGUCUGAUUGUUGCAUAAUGCACACUGAUUAGUUUUUUUUCUGAAUGCUCAUUGCUAUAUAACAAUACUAAUAAAUAAAAAGAUUAAAUUUAAAAUAUCUCCAAAUUGUAAUUGUUGCCUGCUCUUAUGUGUACACAAAUACCAUACUUGGAUUUAAUAGCAGUCCCUAUAACUUUGGCAGAGGGAUACAAGAAUUUUUGUCAGUGCAUCAUUACAUUUUGAAAUGUCUUAUAUUGUGAGCAAAGCUUUGGUCAAUUAGGGUAAUUUAUUCCUAACAUGUUAGACAUGUUUUUAGCAUUUCAGUGUUAGAUUCUUAUUCUGAGUUUCACAAUAAUUGUGCUCUAAAUAAUAUUAAUUGACAACAAGUUACUUAAAAGAUAUAUUGGUAUUUAAACAUCUUAUUUUUAAAAAACAACUUUUCUGCACUUCCUUAACAAGUUCGGGUUUAUAAUUAGCAAAAUUCUUAAGGCGAUUUUUUUGGAGCAGUGUUGGAAAUGCUUUGAUUUUUUUCAGGGUGCCUUGACUGUACUACUAUUAAAUCCUUUACUGACUGCGAAAUAAGUUUUGGGUAGGUGAUGCUAGGAAGGCAUUCUUCUAGUUUUCUACCCCAUUACUGAGUUGUAUAUCAGGUUUCUAUAAAUAUCUUCCAUCUACACAUUUGUUAUCAUUGUUUUAUUUUAAAAGCAGAGGUUAGAGAUCACAUAGUUCAACUGUCAUCCUUCAGAUGAGGAAACCUUGACCGAGAAUGACUUGCCCAAGGUUCUCCACUAAGCUGAUGGAAGAACAGAGACCAGAGCUUGUGUCUUUAUGGCCUGUACUUCCGCUAUACUUAACUCCGUCCUUCCUUUGCAUUUUUUACUUUUUACCAGAUCUUUCCUAAAGUUCAGUGGAAUCACUAAGGAAUCAUUGAGGUGACAGGUAACAUAGGCAAACCACACUGCACCCUGAUUUUCUUAAAUGUAGUUGUAGUUUAGAUGCAGUGCUUCCCACCAUCCUUCAUGAUGUUGUAUAUGUAGUAGAGCAAACGAAUGAUCUAUUUGAUGGCAGCGGUGACUGGCCUGGGGACCUAAGUGUUUGAGAUUGGAGACCAAUCCCCAAGGCAGUGAGGACUCUUCCUCCCUAGAUAAGAAAACAGACAAAAUAUUUCUUAAGUAUUUUAGCUGUUACCUCCUGGACCAAGGAAAGGAAUGUAAUCCUGUAAUUACACUUUGCCUGAAUUUUUUUCCCAAGACUUCAUGUUUUGGUUUGGGGUUUUUUUGGUUGCCAGAAACCCUUGUAAUCUUUCCAACUUUUCCAUAGAAGCAUCAUAGCCCAGACAAGCUUAGGUCUAACCUAUUUAUACCACACAACCAAUUCAGAGCCCUGCAUAUUGUAGAUAAUGAGAAAUUGAACUUAUUCUCCAAGUGUCAUUGGGUUUUAACUUAAAAAAAAAAAAAAACAACCUCUUUGGACAGCGUACACUCAUUUGCUACAUUUAGACCAGUGUACUUCACUUUUUUUUUUCUUUUUAUGGCUGCACCUGCAGCAAAAGGAAGUUCCUAGGUGAGGGGUUGAAUUGGAGCUACAGCUGCAGCCUACACCAUAGCCACAGCAACACUGGAUCCAAGCUGCAUGUGUGACCUACACCACAGCUUGCGGCCAUGCCUGAUCCUUAACCCACUGAGUAAGGCCAGGGAUUAAACCUGCAUCUUCACAGAGACAACAUCAGGUUUUUAACCCACUGAGCCACAAUGUGAACUCCUCACCUGGUAACAUUUUAACAUGAACCACUUAGGCCCCACCCUGACCACUUGAAUCAAAAUCUCUGGGGGUGGGGCCAGGCAUCGGUAUUUUUAAAAAGUUCCCCAGGGGAUUUUAAUAUGCAGCCAGCGAUGAGACACACUGCCUUAAAGUCUCCCUGUCUUUUGGCAGCACUCCUAACAAGUCUAUGAGGUUUGUGACUGGGUUGAGGCUGGAAGUAGCUGGUGAAAAACAAAGGAAUAUGAGAACUGCUUUUGGCACCAUUCACUUUAUAGAAAACCAGAUUUGAGACACUGUGUAUCAGAGAAAACAAUUGCCUUUUAGAAACCCAAAGGUGGGAUUCUUAAAUAUAAUUGGUUCACUGCACUGUGGCUUUAUGCUCAUGUUUGGCAUCUGUCCAGAAGGCUAAGCUGCUUGGUCAGGUAUUCAGGGCCUUAGUUUAUUGCUAUUCUAUUUCUUCUUUCCAACACCAACUUAGGCACAUGCCCAAUUUCCUGGAAAUUCUGAGCCUGUUAAUUUACCAGGUCUGUAAAUUUACCACUCCAAAUCUGUUUCCAAAGGAUGUAUUUCCUCAAACCUAAGAGGAGGGGCUCAAAAAAUAAUGAAACAACAAACAACAGUGGAGGAUUGGUUAUGGAUUCCAUUAGGGAAGGACUGAAAAUUGAAGCGAUCUCCUAAAUCAGAGUAACACUUUGGCUUUUGAGAGCAUUCUAAGAUCCCAGUGACAUCAGUUGGAAUAAAAGGAUGUUUAUGUCUUUGCCAGUCCUGGAUUCUUUUUAAAGGCAAUUUUGGAAAGUUCCUGUGCUUUCACACUCUGACUUCACCUGGUAUAACAGUUUCCUCUGCUGUUUAAUCAGAAUAAUUGCGUUGUACCCUUGUUGCCUCUGCAGUGCCUAGAACUCUUAGGUGUUAAGAAAUUGUACAACGUUUAAGCCUUUCUCCCACAAUGGAACAUGACUCUCCUCCAUACAGUGCUAUUUUGUUGCAGAGAAGCUCUUAAGUUAUGUUCACAGAAUUGAAUUCGGCUAUGGCAUUUUCCUCAACUCAAUCCAUCACUUCACAAUCUCCUAGGAGCCCUGAUUUGCUCUGUCAAUUGUUUGUCUCAAAGCAUCUUCCUGAAAUGAAUUUACUUUAAAGUUAAAGAUGAUUAGAGUGCUUCUUCUCCAGGAGACAAUUACAAUGCUAUAUUCUUUGGCAGGGAGAAAAACAACGUAGCAUUAAUUUUUCCAAGCUUUCUUUGAGUAUUGUUAAAAGGAGAAUUGUCAGCUUAAUCCAACAUACUAUAAUAACCAAAAGACAACUGCUAUUAAAAUGCAAGAUUUUCUACUAAGACCAUUUUGAGGAGUUGUUUGGGAGGAGGAGAAAAGGGAGAAGUAUGAAGGGGAAAGGGAAGGAGUCUAUUAAGUAUUCCUGACCUUCAAAGACACUUUUGUCAGUGAAUGCUGCAGACAAAAUAAACCAAGUCUGAGACCUAUUAUUAAAAUGUUUUUCUCCCUCCUUAGCCCGAUACUAUAUGUUAUCCUGCCUCUUAAACUAUUAUGCUUUAUUUUUCUUUCUGGAUGAAUUGAUAUCUUUUGACAGGCUUUGUUAAGAAUACAUAGUAAAGGUCAAGUGUAAGCCAUUUGAUGGUGUUUCCUGGCAGCCUUUAUGCCAUGGCAAAUAGAGAUUGGAAGCAGGUUUAUUUUUCAGUGUAGCUUUGUGGAUAUGCUUCUAAUGGAUUGCGCUUUUUCUCAUACUGAACUCCCACACCUUGCAGGAUUUUCAGGACUGCAACCUAAGAAUUUUAAAGUGGAUCAUCUCAGACUCCUCUCUUCCUCUCAACUUCCAGAUCCCAUCAGACACCAAAUCCAGACGAUUCCUCUUCAUGAAUAUCUCUGAAAUUCAUUAAUUUCUUUCCAUUCAUUGCUACCAUCUGAGGUUAUACUACUAUCAUCUUUCCACUGUAUGACUUUGGUAUUCUAACCGGUCUCUCCACCUCUGGUGCCUUCUCACCUCCAGUGUGUCCUUCGUUCUGCCAUAAGCAUGAGCUUACUAAGUCACAGAUCAGAUAUUGACCACCCUUCAUCCAGAACACCUGCAAACCCACAAAUAUCAAGAAUGAACCCUGAGAUUGUGCAAUAAGUGCUCUGAUAAAAAUGCUCUGUAAACUCCGAAAGAUAGAGCCUUUGGGAUUAGGAAACAUUUCACUGAAGAGGUAACAUUGAGUAGGGUUUUGAAUGUUGAAUAAAAUUUUCCAGGUGGAGAAAAGGGAAAACUAUAUUUCAAGCAGAGGGAAUGAUAUGUACAGAAGCAAAGAAUAGAGAGCCCAGAAAUAUACUGUCAAUUGAUCUUCAGUAACGGUGCCAAGAGUGCACAAUGGGAAAAAGAUAGUAUGUUCAAUAAAUGGUGAUGAGAAAAUUGAUAUCCACAUACAAAGAGUAAAUUUGGACCCAUAUUUUAUACUACACACAAAAAUCAACUCAAAGUAGAUUAAAGAUUUAAAUAUAAAACCUGAAACUGUAAAAUUCCUAGAAGAAAAUCUAGGGGGAAACCUUCAUAACACUGGUCUUGGCAGUGAUUUCAAGACUUGACACCAAAACUACAGAGAAUAAAAGCAAAAAUAGAUUAGGUAGUACCCCAUCCAAUUGAAAAGUGUUAGCACAGCAAAGGAAACCAUCGACUGAGUGAAGAGGCAACCUACUUAAUGGGGUUAACAUAAGGGGUUAAUUUCCAAAAUAUGUAAAGAACUU
rnacentral:lncRNA from 1 species